rnacentral:rRNA from 1 species
AACGAACGCUGGCGGCAGGCCUAACACAUGCAAGUCGAACGCUCCGCAAGGAGAGUGGCAGACGGGUGAGUAACACGUGGGAAUCUUCCUAUCGGUGCGGAAUAGCUCAGGGAAACUUGAGGUAAUACCGCAUACGCCCUCAGGGGGAAAGAUUUAUCGCCGAUAGAUGAGCCCGCGUCUGAUUAGCUAGUUGGUGGGGUAAUGGCCCACCAAGGCGACGAUCAGUAGCUGGUCUGAGAGGAUGACCAGCCACACUGGGACUGAGACACGGCCCAGACUCCUACGGGAGGCAGCAGUGGGGAAUAUUGGACAAUGGGCGCAAGCCUGAUCCAGCCAUGCCGCGUGAGUGACGAAGGUCUUCGGAUUGUAAAGCUCUUUUGCCAGGGACGAUAAUGACGGUACCUGGAGAAUAAGCCCCGGCUAACUUCGUGCCAGCCGCCGCCGUAAUAC